UACGGGGGGGGCAAGCGUUGUUCGGAAUUACUGGGCGUAAAGGGCGCGUAGGCGGCACGGCAAGUCGGGAGUGAAAGCCCGGGGCUCAACCCCGGAACGUCUUUCGAAACUGCCGAGCUAGAGUGCGGAAGGGGCAACUGGAAUUCCCAGUGUAGCGGUGAAAUGCGUAGAUAUUGGGAAGAACACCUGAGGCGAAGGCGGGUUGCUGGGCCGACACUGACGCUGAGGCGCGAAAGCCAGGGGAGCGAACGGG
rnacentral:rRNA from 1 species